GAAGGUUUUAAUUUUACUCUAAAGCUGCAUAAUUUUUGAAAAUUCUGUUCCAUUUCAUCCCUACUGACCGCCAGAGGCAGUGCUUAAAGCACUGAAUGAUUACUCUUGCGCAUGUACUGGUCGAAUAUCUUAUACCAACAUGGUCACGUGUGACCCCCGGUGAUACCGCCUCAAGACUACAGUCGGAGCUGCGAGGAUCAUCUCGCCCUCCUGGGAGUCCUUCAGGAGGGGCAUCAGGUCCUUCUAGUGGCCCCCCUGUGGCCAGGAAGAACCUGGUUUCCACUGCUGCGCAGGCUCUGUUGCAGCUCUCCAAUGCCUCUUCUGUCACAGGACCUUCUCUCGCAGUUGGGGGGUGGGAUCCUGCAUCCCAAUCCCAGUCGCCUCCAACUCUGGGUUUGGCCGCUACGGGGUGUUUCCUUCUCAGAGUAUGAUGGAGACAUCGGACAUAUGAUGACUAAUUCCAGGACCCCUUCCACAGGACUGGUGUACACCCAUAAGUGGAAGGUUUUUAGCAGCUGGUGUGAUGCUAGACAUGAGGAUCCUGUACACUGUCCUAUUUCUGUUAUUUUAACCUUCCUUCAAGCACUGCUUUCUCAGGGUCAGUCUCCAUCCACUCUGAAAGUUUAUGUUGCUGCCAUCUCUUGUUGGCAUACGGUGGUGAGUGGAGAGACAAUAGGCUGUAAUAAGGAUGUUUCUUUGUUUCUGAGAGGUGCCCGAUGUUUGCACCCUCCCACACACUCUGUCGUGCCUGUGUGGGACCUCUCUCUUGUCCUUGCUACCCUGCAAGCUCCUCUGUUUGAACCCCUGGCAGAGGUGAGCCUCGAGUGUUUGUCAAAAGACAGCUUUUCUCCUCACCAUGGCUUUGGCGAAGCGAGUGGGUGAACAACAUGCGUUGUCUAAGAGUCCUGUUGCCGUUGGAACCCAGCUGGUUCUGGCGUUUCUCCCUAAGGUGGCCUCAUCAUCUUCGAGCCACUCUGUGCCCCUCCAGUUUUUGGGGUGGUUUCUUUUCUGUGUGUGAUUCCUCAGGACUCUGUUGGUAAUCGUCAUCCAGUGCUCUAAGCACCACCUCUGGCGGUCAGUAGGGAUGAAAUAGAACGAAAGUUACGACUGUAACUACGGUUGUAUGAAUCCCGGAUGACCACCAGAGCGCUCGGUCCCUCGGAAUCAUUGUGUUUCACGAGAAGAUUAAGGGACUGAGCUGUCAUUGUCAUGUGACUAUAUAGAUUUACCGGUGUCACUGGGGGUCACACAUGACCAUGUUGGUAUAAGAUACUCGACCUGUGCAUGCGCAAGAGUGAUCAUUCAGUGCUUUAAGCACUGCCUCAGUCAUCCGGGAUUCAUAGGACCGUAGUUACAGUUGUAACUUUUGCUUUGUUUGCCGCAUCAAAACUAGAUAUUUUUUUAAAAUCAAGCCAAAACUAUUAUGGUUUUUAAAUGACUACCAGAUAAACAUUAACUCAUUUAAACUUCAUUUGUUUUUUACUUCAGGAUUUUUCUUUUUUACUUCUGGGUCUGCAUCUUCAUUUGUGUUGUCAGAAGGAAAACUAAUGAUAUUGUUUGAAACUAUUCCCUCCCUAUAAUGGACAAAAUAAUCAAAUUCCUGCUCACAAAAUCAGGCCACUGGGCUUCACUGUGCCAGACAGUCUUUCAUAACAUCUUAUACGGUAGUUCAUAUUCAGUUUUAUACAAAUAUGUCUCUAAAGACUGAAAGCAAUAUUGGAAUAUAAUGAUUUGUCUUCAGAAACGGUAAAAAAAAGGAGAAUUAUGUUAUUUAUCAGCAGUGCUGAGGUUUAUAGACUUUCUGACACCAAAACGUAAUAAAAUAUUUUAUUUAGAGAUAAAUAAAACACUGAAGAUGUCUUUUUGUUUGUUUUUGCCUGUUGCAACUUUUGAAAUUAGUCAGUUUAAGACAAAAAUGAUAUUUCAGGUCUAUAACCUUCUGUGAGUAUUUUAAUGUGUUCAUUAAAAAAGAAGUGCAACUAUGA